AGACGGAGGGUGCAAACGUUGUUCGGAAUUACUGGGCAUAAAGAGCACGUAGGCGGUCCACUAAGUUGAAUGUGAAAGCCCUCGGCUCAACCGGGGAACGGCAUUCGAUACUGGUGGACUCGAGGAUGGUUGGGGUGAGUGGAACUCCUGGUGGAGCGGUGAAAUGCGUAGAUAUCAGGAGGAACACCAGUGGCGAAAGCGGCUCACUGGACCAUAUCUGACGCUGAGGUGCGAAAGCUAGGGUAGCGAACGGGAUUAGAAACCCCAGUAGUCC
rnacentral:rRNA from 1 species